rnacentral:rRNA from 1 species
GGGUUGUGAGGUUAAGCGACUAAGCGUACACGGUGGAUGCCCUGGCAGUCAGAGGCGAUGAAGGACGUGCUAAUCUGCGAUAAGCGCCGGUAAGGUGAUAUGAACCGUUAUAACCGGCGAUUUCCGAAUGGGGAAACCCAGUGUGACUCGUCACACUAUCAUUAACUGAAUCCAUAGGUUAAUGAGGCGAACCGGGGGAACUGAAACAUCUAAGUACCCCGAGGAAAAGAAAUCAACCGAGAUUCCCCCAGUAGCGGCGAGCGAACGGGGAGGAGCCCAGAGCCUGAAUCAGCAUGUGUGUUAGUGGAAGCGUCUGGAAAGGCGCGCGAUACAGGGUGACAGCCCCGUACACAAAAGCGCAUGUGCUGUGAGCUCGAUGAGUAGGGCGGGACACGUGGUAUCCUGUCUGAAUAUGGGGGGACCAUCCUCCAAGGCUAAAUACUCCUGACUGACCGAUAGUGAACCAGUACCGUGAGGGAAAGGCGAAAAGAACCCCGGCGAGGGGAGUGAAAAAGAACCUGAAACCGUGUAGCUGAAUCAGCAUGUGUGUUAGUGGAAGCGUCUGGAAAGGCGCGCGAUACAGGGUGACAGCCCCGUACACAAAAGCGCAUGUGCUGUGAGCUCGAUGAGUAGGGCGGGACACGUGGUAUCCUGUCUGAAUAUGGGGGGACCAUCCUCCAAGGCUAAAUACUCCUGACUGACCGAUAGUGAACCAGUACCGUGAGGGAAAGGCGAAAAGAACCCCGGCGAGGGGAGUGAAAAAGAACCUGAAACCGUGUACGUACAAGCAGUGGGAGCACAGGUUUACCUGUGUGACUGCGUACCUUUUGUAUAAUGGGUCAGCGACUUAUAUUCUGUAGCAAGGUUAACCGAAUAGGGGAGCCGGAGGGAAACCGAGUCUUAAUUGGGCGUUAAGUUGCAGGGUAUAGACCCGAAACCCGGUGAUCUAGCCAUGGGCAGGUUGAAGGUUGGGUAACACUAACUGGAGGACCGAACCGACUAAUGUUGAAAAAUUAGCGGAUGACCUGUGGCUGGGGGUGAAAGGCCAAUCAAACCGGGAGAUAGCUGGUUCUCCCCGAAAGCUAUUUAGGUAGCGCCUCGUGAACUCAUCUCCGGGGGUAGAGCACUGUUUCGGCUAGGGGGCCAUCCCGGCUUACAACCCGAUGCAAACUGCGAAUACCGGAGAAUGUUAUCACGGGAGACACACGGCGGGUGCUAACGUCCGUCGUGAAGAGGGAAACAACCCAGACCGCCAGCUAAGGUCCCAAAGUCAUGGUUAAGUGGGAAACGAUGUGGGAAGGCCCAGACAGCCAGGAUGUUGGCUUAGAAGCAGCCAUCAUUUAAAGAAAGCGUAAUAGCUCACUGGUCGAGUCGGCCUGCGCGGAAGAUGUAACGGGGCUAAACCAUGCACCGAAGCUGCGGCAGCGAACGUAUCACUUAAAGCGAUUCAGCGGGUUACGAUUGACGGAGCGAAGCGACGUCAAAGCGUAUACAAGGUCGAGUCGGUUUAAGGAUACGUUCGUUGGGUAGGGGAGCGUUCUGUAAGCCUGCGAAGGUGGCCUGUGAGGGUUGCUGGAGGUAUCAGAAGUGCGAAUGCUGACAUAAGUAACGAUAAAGCGGGUGAAAAGCCCGCUCGCCGGAAGACCAAGGGUUCCUGUCCAACGUUAAUCGGGGCAGGGUGAGUCGACCCCUAAGGCGAGGCCGAAAGGCGUAGUCGAUGGGAAACGGGUUAAUAUUCCCGUACUUGGUGUUACUGCGAAGGGGGGACGGAGAAGGCUAUGUUGGCCGGGCGACGGUUGUCCCGGUUUAAGCGUGUAGGUGUGUGUUCCAGGUAAAUCCGGUUCACUUUAACACUGAGGCGUGAUGACGAGGCACUACGGUGCUGAAGCAACAAAUGCCCUGCUUCCAGGAAAAGCCUCUAAGCAUCAGGUAACAUCAAAUCGUACCCCAAACCGACACAGGUGGUCAGGUAGAGAAUACCAAGGCGCUUGAGAGAACUCGGGUGAAGGAACUAGGCAAAAUGGUGCCGUAACUUCGGGAGAAGGCACGCUGACACGUAGGUGAAGUGAUUUACUCAUGGAGCUGAAGUCAGUCGAAGAUACCAGCUGGCUGCAACUGUUUAUUAAAAACACAGCACUGUGCAAACACGAAAGUGGACGUAUACGGUGUGACGCCUGCCCGGUGCCGGAAGGUUAAUUGAUGGGGUCAGCGCAAGCGAAGCUCCUGAUCGAAGCCCCGGUAAACGGCGGCCGUAACUAUAACGGUCCUAAGGUAGCGAAAUUCCUUGUCGGGUAAGUUCCGACCUGCACGAAUGGCGUAAUGAUGGCCAGGCUGUCUCCACCCGAGACUCAGUGAAAUUGAACUCGCUGUGAAGAUGCAGUGUACCCGCGGCAAGACGGAAAGACCCCGUGAACCUUUACUAUAGCUUGACACUGAACAUUGAGCCUUGAUGUGUAGGAUAGGUGGGAGGCUUUGAAGUGUGGACGCCAGUCUGCAUGGAGCCGACCUUGAAAUACCACCCUUUAAUGUUUGAUGUUCUAACGUGGACCCGUUACCCGGGUUGCGGACAGUGUCUGGUGGGUAGUUUGACUGGGGCGGUCUCCUCCUAAAGAGUAACGGAGGAGCACGAAGGUUGGCUAAUCCUGGUCGGACAUCAGGAGGUUAGUGCAAUGGCAUAAGCCAGCUUGACUGCGAGCGUGACGGCGCGAGCAGGUGCGAAAGCAGGUCAUAGUGAUCCGGUGGUUCUGAAUGGAAGGGCCAUCGCUCAACGGAUAAAAGGUACUCCGGGGAUAACAGGCUGAUACCGCCCAAGAGUUCAUAUCGACGGCGGUGUUUGGCACCUCGAUGUCGGCUCAUCACAUCCUGGGGCUGAAGUAGGUCCCAAGGGUAUGGCUGUUCGCCAUUUAAAGUGGUACGCGAGCUGGGUUUAGAACGUCGUGAGACAGUUCGGUCCCUAUCUGCCGUGGGCGCUGGAGAACUGAGGGGGGCUGCUCCUAGUACGAGAGGACCGGAGUGGACGCAUCACUGGUGUUCGGGUUGUCAUGCCAAUGGCACUGCCCGGUAGCUAAAUGCGGAAGAGAUAAGUGCUGAAAGCAUCUAAGCACGAAACUUGCCCCGAGAUGAGUUCUCCCUGAGACUUAGAGUCUCCUGAAGGAACGUUGAAGACGACGACGUUGAUAGGCCGGGUGUGUAAGCGCAGCGAUGCGUUGAGCUAACCGGUACUAAUGAACCGUGAGGCUUAACCUUACAACGCCGAAG